GUACCCCAACUAUUAAAUCCUGUACNAGAAGCUACCCUAGAAGAAUGCUGUAUUCUUGUUAAUCAACAUGACCAAAAGUGUGGCUUUUGUUUUCUUGUUCAAUACUUAGGAUGAACUACUAUUACAACAGCUUUCAUCGACCAAGAUCACAUUCCCUGAUCACUAUACAAAUUCUUGCUGCAGUCAUCCGUUAUACGAG
rnacentral:misc_RNA from 1 species